rnacentral:tRNA from 2 species
GCGCGAGUGGCGGAAUAGGCAGACGCACAGGCUUCAGGUGCCUGCGCCCGUAAGGGUGUGGGGGUUCAAGUCCCCCCUCGCGCAC